CUCAGCCAUGCUGCUAAUCAGCACAGACAUAGGAGGAUGCAGAACGGGAGCCAGACAGAGAUCAGGCUCCACUGGGUGAGGGAGGCGGCAGGAGCGUGCGCGUGUGGAAGUAUGUGGGUGUAUAUCAGAGUGUGCAUGCAGGUAAGCAUGUACAACUUUGAACAUGUGCGGACGUGUAUACAGGAGACAGGGGAGUGGCGUAAUCUGACUUGGAUUCUUUCAUCACACCUUAAUUUGGAGGUGGUGGAGGAAAGAGGGGGAAGUUUGCAGCAGGGGACCGGAGAAUGAAAUGAAGGAAACGGGAAGGAAAUGACGAAGGCUUAUUCUCUGAGACUGCAGAACUGCCACUCUCUCUCUUUAUCGUCCUGUAUGGAAAGCCUGACACACACACACACACACACACACACACACACACACACACACACACACACACACACACACACACACACACACACACACACACACACACACAGCCUGUUGUUGAUGUGACUGUGUUGAAAACAGGAUCUGACACACGGGAUGGUAAACACAGAUUUUGGAGAAUAAAGUCAGAGAAAGAGGACAGAGACAGAGUGAGGGAACAGAAAGUCAUAUACAAUGUUAAUAAAUAAAGAACUAAAUAAAGACUUAGUAAUAAAGAUGUGUACAGCUAAAAUGAAAACUAAAGAGUUGACUGUAGUGGAGAGGAACAUUUUGUAAAUGUCAAUAGUUUGAAAAAGGUUUUGAUAACUUCGAUAAUCUGUCCUUUUAUUCAGGAUCCAAUUCGUCAAACUGCGGUCACCCCCUUUAGAGAUAAUAAUAAGAUAACAAAGAUGAUUAUAUGUCUCUAAAUAAAGCCUUUUCUGCACAUUCAAACUUUAGACAGAGGGAGUGUAGGAAUCCAAUCCUUCCACAGUGAUAACCCUCAGGUCAGCGAGCUGGACUGUUGACACAAACAUCACUGCGGCCCGCCACAACACGACAGAUCAGGAGCGGGACGUGUUUCCUAUUUGUUUCUGCUGUGGCAGAAUUAGCAGUAAGCGGGGAUUUAAUGGAGAUUUUUCCCGGCACUCAGGAACAAACAAGAUUCUUCUGCAGAAGCCGAGAAAGAAAAAAAAACGAGAAAGGAAUGUCACAGGAAGGUCAAAUGUCACAGGAGGAAUGUCACUGGCCUGUUUGCUCUCACGUGUAUUCACUCAUGCACCUUACGCCAGGCUGAUCAUAAACAUGUUCAAUAAAGGUUAGUUUGAAUAUG